ensembl:lncRNA
AUGAUUUGAAUCACAUUGCAAAAAUUAUGAGGACAUCAUAAGCACUAAGCAUAGUGUUUAACUGGCAUACAGAUGCAUACUUUUUAAAACAUUGUUUUUCACUCCAAAUUUUAUGUCUGAUUUACAUUGUCAAUAAAAGAUAUGAUUCCCUUGCUAAGUUUAAAGAGUGUAACAACUUUUGCUUAUGUAAGUGUUUGAUGUUAAUUCAAGCUUGUUUAUACUGCUAGGACUCUGGAUCCAGAUUCAACUUUAACCCAGAUAAUGCAAUCAGUUUACUAGGCUGACCAUGGCCUUCUCGCUUACUGGGUGCAUCAAAACGAAUGAAGCCAAGGGAUGUGAAAAACAAGGUUUGUUGUUUAAGCAUCUCAUUGCUUGUUUGAAUAGAGAGUGCCUGGAAUGUUCUCUUCCCCUGCCAAAGUGUUUGAGAAAGUGAACACAAGUAGGACAUUUCUGAUACGACUAGACUUUUUCUCAUAAAACUGCAACUUGUGACUGAUUUGAUGUUUUUCAGAUGUGCUGAAAGACAUUUAAAGCACAGCCAAAAUUAUUAAUCAGUUUCAUGGUUUCACUGUGGCCUGUAAUCUAAACUGGGAGCAUCAGGUUGCAUCUUUCUACCUAUUGGCAUGUGUGAUACUUUAUCUCUAGACUGUUCAUGAAUCAUUCAGUAUGGCAGGGAAAGAGCUUCCUUUAUGCCUUUGAGCUGCCUCUGAGCCCUGGGCAGCAAACUAACAUGAUGGGCUCGUUCUGGGUAUGCCUCUGCUGGCCUACCCUACUUUGCUGGUUCUUUGCCCCAAGACUGAGCACUGCUGUUGGAUCAAACAUAACACUAGGACUUCCUGAGAGGUCUUCCUGCAAACCAGGUUUUUACUGCCCAGAGGGAGGUAAGGGUCCAGUUCCAUGUCCUAGAGGAACAUUUGGACCAAGUUUUUGGGCCCAGUCUGUAAAUGACUGCAUCAGCUGCCCACCACAUCACUAUGGACCUAGAGAAGGCUUGAGCAAUUGCCUGCCCUGUGGGCCCUGGUCACAGCAGCCUCUGCUUGGACAGGACAGCUGUACAUGUCUGCGAGAGGGUCAAGUCUUCCAGGCCAGUGAUGGACAGUGUCCAUGUACUUUGGGAUACACACAGAAAGGAGAAGCCUGUGUGUUGAAGGUCUAUGAGAUCUGCAAGGAUGGAAGAGCACGAAACCAGCAUGGAGAAUGUCUGGACCACAAGCAAUGGAAGCAGCAUUGCUCCCAGCAGGUGUGUCCAUCUCCUGAGCUGUAUGAGGGCUAUGAUGGUUCCCUGGGCCUGUGUGCUUGCAGAGGGCUGUCCAGGCCUGAGCCAGACAGGGUUGAGUGUGUUGGCUGGUGCCGGAGCAACCUGAGUCCAAUUCUGCAGCUGGUUUGCACUGGAAGCCUUUACCUGCUCUACACUGAGUCUAAUCAACAGGUGUGCAUGUCUAGAAGCAUGCUGGAGACCGUCCUCAAACACUGGGACUCCCGUGGGAGCUGAGAAUGCAAUGUGCAGCUCAACUUCGCCAGGCCUGUGUACACAGUUAAAACAGGGGGUGAGUAGCCAGAGACGAGGGCAGGAAGUAGAGAGGGUUUCAUGACCACGGUUUAUCAGCAGCCUGCUCUCUGUUUGCCAUUGUGCAGAGGCGGGCUUCUUUGGUCUGCUUAAUGCCGUCCCUGUGGAGGUCAGGAGGUUGAUUCUGGCCCACAGCCAGCAAACUAACAACUACUUUGAGCCCCUAGACAAAGACAGAGGUAUGUAGUACACCAAUAUGUCUUACAUAUAUAUACACACAACCAGUGUAUUAGACAUGUUUAUGAGAUAUGUUUUGUUAGGAAACAUCAAAGACAAAGAGGAAGACUGGGACUCUCAUUGGUCCGGUAAAUCAUCAGCGUUUGGUACAUCCGACAUGAGGCCUAGAGGAGUCUUGAACCCAACAGCAUGUCUACAUCCGGGAGACAUUCUUCUUUUUACCGUGACCCAACAGCACUAUCCUCAGUAUGAUGUGUGAGUACAUGCUGACAUGUGAUUCAUCUGCAGCCCAUCCAUUUUCACUGUCCCAGACUGUCACAGAGGGAAUCCUGCUUUUUUCACAGAGACAGCUUGUAUAACACUAAUGAUGCAUUUGACUGGGGACCCUUCAGAUCACUGGCACAGGACCAAGAACUGGCACGAUCUACCCACUCCCUUUUUUCCAUAAGUCUCCAUGAGCCUGGGGUGUACGCCUUCAAACUCAGUAGCCACAAUUAUAGGCACAUGGUAUUAUGAUCCAUUUUCAUGUUAUGGCGGAUAACUGUUAAAUGUUAUUAAAAUUCUGUACUACUAAAUACUAAAUAAAUAAAAUACUAAAAACUCA